UUUGAUCAGAGUAUGAAUAUU
ensembl:piRNA 21ur-13964 ncRNA